rfam:Blautia sp. CAG:237 genomic scaffold, scf218
UGCAAAAUAGGACUUUAUGCGUCAAGUGUUCAGCGAAUGGGGAGUUGUCGCUGAAACGAAAAGUACGUCUUACGGUAUAGAGUCCGCACCCGUUGCG